rnacentral:tRNA from 1 species
GGCCUCCGUAGCUCAGCUGGAUAGAGCAACGGACUUCUAAUCCGUAGGUCGCAGGUUCGAUCCCGCCGGGGCGCA